UAAACUCAUAAGACGAGAAGACCCUGUGGAGCUUUAAAACCAAGAUCAUUAAACUAUGCUCCUUGGAUUUUUAGUUGGGGCGACUUUGGAGCAAAAAAAACCCUCCAAAACAUAAAUUUAAUUAUUUAGACCAACACACCAAGAAAAUUAUAUUAGACCCAGCAGUAUUUUUUUACUGUCUGACCAAUGAACCAAGUUACCCCAGGGAUAACAGCGCUAUCCUCUUCUAGAGUCCCUAUCGACAAGAGGGUUUACGACCUCGAUGUUGGAUCAGGACACCCCUAUAGUGCAGCCGCUAUAAAAGGUUCGUUUGUUCAACGAUUAAAGUCCUACGUGAUCUGAGUUCAGACCGGA
rnacentral:rRNA from 1 species